rnacentral:rRNA from 1 species
GAUGAACGCUGGCGGCGUGCUUAACACAUGCAAGUCGAACGAUGAAGCUGGAGCUUGCUCUGGUGGAUUAGUGGCGAACGGGUGAGUAACACGUGAGCAACCUGCCCCUGACUCUGGGAUAACAGCCGGAAACGGCUGCUAAUACCGGAUAUGCACCAUGAACGCAUGUUCUGUGGUGGGAAAGAUUUUUCGGUUGGGGAUGGGCUCGCGGCCUAUCAGCUUGUUGGUGAGGUAAUGGCUCACCAAGGCGUCGACGGGUAGCCGGCCUGAGAGGGUGACCGGCCACACUGGGACUGAGGCACGGCCCAGACUCCUACGGGAGGCAGCAGUGGGGAAUAUUGCACAAUGGGCGAAAGCCUGAUGCAGCAACGCCGCGUGAGGGAUGACGGCCUUCGGGUUGUAAACCUCUUUUAGCAGGGAAGAAGCGAGAGUGACGGUACCUGCAGAAAAAGCGCCGGCUAACUACGUG